ACUCCUACGGGAGGCAGCAGUGGGAAUAUUGCACAAUGGGCGCAAGCCUGAUGCAGCGACGCCGCGUGGAGGAUGAAGGUUUUCGGAUUGUAAACUCCUGUUAAGUGGGAAGAAAGAACACAGGUUAAUACCCUGUGGAGAUGACGGUACCACUAGAGAAAGCACCGGCUAACUUCGUGCCAGCAGCCGCGGUAAUACGAGGGGUGCAAGCGUUAUUCGGAAUAACUGGGCGUAAAGAGUGCGUAGGCGGCUUGUUAAGUCUGUUGUUAAAUUAUCCGGCUCAACUGGGUAUCGGCAAUAGAAACUGGCGAGCUCGAGGACAAGAGAGAGAAGUGGAAUUCUCGGAGUAGCGGUAAAAUGCGUAGAUCUCGAGAGGAACACCGAUGGCGAAGGCAGCUUCUUGGCUUGUAUCUGACGCUGAAGUACGAAAGCGUGGGGAGCAAACAGGAUUAGAUACCCUGGUAGGCUCUG
rnacentral:rRNA from 1 species